ensembl:lncRNA
UCUAUUCUGUCAGAAUCUGAGAAAAUAAUAUCCCAAAUGUCCUGGUCUCCUUUCCAACCCAGUCGUUCCCUGAGUGUAUACAGUACAACCAGGAGACCGGUGUGUUUGAGGUGGUCAGUGAGUCAGAGGAGGCUCUGUCUAGGAGGAUCAGGUCAACCCUGCAGUACUUUCAAUCACAACCUCUCACUGAUCCAACAGAGCUGUCUGCUAGACCCAUGGUGGACAACCACUACCCUGUUCUGUGCUUGGACAGACAACAGGGAGUGGAGUGGAUCCUAAAAGAAAGACUACCCUUGUUUAUUCACAGUGACUGCUACUUCGAGUACAGGUAAUCCCCACUGUUUUAUUACUAGGGGGUCAUAUCACCUGUUGAUGCAUGUCUAGAUAUCAGCACUGCCCUUUAUCCUGGUCCUGUCUGUCCUGACUUCAUCUGUCUUGAUAUCAGCACUGCCCUUUAUCCUGUCUGUCCUGUCUUCAUCUGUCUAGAUAUCAGCACUGCCCUUUAUCCUGUCUGUCCUGUCUUCAUCUGUCUAGAUAUCAGCACUGCCCUUUAUCCUGGUCCUGUCUGUCCUGUCUUCAUCAAUCACAUUUAUUUUUUUAAUCAAAUUUAUUUAUAAAGCCAGUCUUACAUCAGCUGAUAUCUCAAAGUGCUGUACAGAAACCCAGCCUAAAACCCCAAACAGCAAGCAAUGCAGGUGUAGAAGCACGGUGGCUAGGAAAAACUCCCUAGAAAGGCCAAAACCUAGGAAGAAACCUAGAGAGGAACCAGGCUAUGAGGGGUGGCCAGUCCUCUUCUGGCUGUGCCGGGUGGAGAUUAUAACAGAACGUGGCCAAGAUGUUCAAAUGUUCAUAGAUAACCAGCAGGGUCAAAUAAUAAUAAUCACAGUGGUUGUCGAGGGUGCAACAGGUCAGCACCUCAGGAGUAAAUGUCAGUUGGCUUUUCAUAGCCGAUUAUUGAGAGUAUCUCUACCGCUCCUGCUGUCUCUAGAGAGUUGAAAACAGCAGGUCUGGGACAGGUAGCACGUCCGGUGAACAGGUCAGGGUUCCAUAGCCGCAGGCAGAACAGUUGAAACUGGAGCAGCAGCACGGCCAGGUGGACUGGGGACAGCAAGGAGUCAUCAGGCCAGGUAGUCCUGAGGCAUGGUCCUAGGGCUCAGGUCUUCCGAGAGAGAGAAAGAGAAAAAGAGAGAAUUAGAGCAUACUUAAAUUCACACAGGACACCGGAUAAGACAGGAGAAAUACUCCAGAUAUAACAGACUGACCCUAGCCCCCCGACACAUAAACUACUGCAGCAUAAAUACUGGAGGCUGAGACAGGAGGGGUCAGGAGACACUGUGGCCCCGUCCGACAAUACCCCCGGACAGGGCCAAACAGGCAGGAUAUAACCCCACCCACUUUGCCAAAGCACAGCCCCCCCACCACUAGAGGGAUAUCUUCAACCACCAAC